rnacentral:rRNA from 1 species
AUUGAACGCUGGCGGCAGGCCUAACACAUGACAGUCGAACGAGUGGCGGAAGGGUGAGUAAUGUCUGGGAAACUGCCCGAUGGAGGGGGAUACCUACUGAAAACGGUGGCUAAUACCGCAUACCAUCGGAUGUGCCCAGAUGGGAUUAGCUAGUAGGUGGGGUAAAGGCGCACCUAGGCGACGAACCCUAGCGGGUCUGAGAGGAUGACCAGCCACACUGGAACUGAGACACGGUCCAGACUCCUACGGGAGGCAGCAGUGGGGAAUAUUGCACAAUGGGCGCAAGCCUGAUGCAGCCAUGCCGCGUGUAUGAAGAAGGCCUUCGGGUUGUAAAGUACUUUCAGCGAGGAGGCGUUACUCGCAGAAGAAGCACCGGCUAACUCCGUGCCAGCAGCCGCGGUAAUAC